rnacentral:rRNA from 1 species
GAUGAACGCUAGCAACAGGCCUAACACAUGCAAGUCGAGGGGCAGCACGGGGUAGCAAUACCUGGGUGGCGACCGGCGCACGGGUGAGUAACGCGUAUGCAACCCGCCCGCCACAGGGGGAUAGCCUUCCGAAAGGGAGAUUAAUACCGCAUGAUACAUAUUUCCCGCAUGGGUUCUAUGUUAAAGAUUAAUUGGUGGCGGAUGGGCAUGCGUUCCAUUAGCUAGUUGGUGGGGUAAUUGCCCACCAAGGCAACGAUGGAUAGGGGAACUGAGAGGUUUGUCCCCCACACUGGAACUGAGACACGGUCCAGACUCCUACGGGAGGCAGCAGUGAGGAAUAUUGGUCAAUGGGGGCAACCCUGAACCAGCCAGGUCGCGUGAAGGAAGACGGUUCUAUGGAUUGUAAACUUCUUUUGCAGGGGGGUAAAUGAGCGGACGUGUCCGUUUUUGCAAGUACCCUGCGAAUAAGCAUCGGCUAACUCCGUGCCAGCCGCCGCAGUAAGAC